CAGUGGCAAUAACAGCAACCUUGAGCCCCCAGCAUGGGGCAGCUCAGUAUGUGUGCGCUGCUCCUGGCUUCCAAUUGCCCUGGGCUGCCCCACCUGGGCUCCACCACUGGCCCCACCUGGGAUCCCACCCACCUUGCCCAUGAGCUGAGCUCCAUUUAAGCUGCAGCCUGGGCCCCUCACCUGUUUGGAGACCUGCUGUAGGUGUGCCUGCUCUCUGAUGGAACCCAGACCUGCGUGGCCCUGUCUUUUUGCCACCCUGGGCUCCAGACCUGGCUGGUCACCUUGCCUUGGCUGCUGAUGCCAUAGGGCUGCCAGCCCUCCUUGCGGUGCUGCUGGGUGUACAGAUUUAGCCGUGUGCCAUGAAAACACACCAGGCACUGCCCUCCUGCUCCCAGCUGCACCACUCAAAGCAGCGGCCGGCUCCAGUGCUGGGGCAUGGGGCGGAUCGCUCCCUCCUCUGCCUGCACCGAUGGGGUGAGGUUCCUGCUGCCUUCGCUGUGCUGGCUGGAGGGGGGCUUUUAAAACAAUCCCCCUAAGGACACGACUGCGCUCCAAAUGCAGACCUCUCUGGUCUCCUGGUGAUGGUCUCUGCAGAGCCUGGUGGCCGCUCCUCUCCUGGUGAGCACCCACAGCUGGCCUCCUGCUGCAGACCUGCACCAGUGAGUGUCUCCUGCUCCUCCUGCCCAGCUGCUUGCUGGUGCUCCUCGAGGAGUCGUGGGGGGGUUCCUGUUAAAACACGGUCAGGUUGAGUGACCCCAAAGCAUGAGAAAUGGAAGAAAAACCACCACCUCAUCAGUGGUGGACUGGGAACUUUAUAGCACUGAAUUUUUGAGGAGUAUGACAAGAAUUUGACUAAGAGCACUUGACAAAGAGUCCGGUUUGAAGCCCUGCCGCAGUGCUUGUCUGCUCUGGAGAGUGGCACUGGGGGUCAGUGGUGCCACAGGAGGGUUUUGUGCUCCUGUUAACAGAUCACAGGGACUUGGAAAAAGCUGCUGGGAGUACAUGAGGGACUGUUCUAUAAUUUGUCAGCCGGUGGCUGGUGGUGGCUAAGGCUGUCCUGCCCAAGCUCACCAGAGACCCGGCUGGCCAUAAAGAUGCACUGAGAACCCGCCUGCUGCUGCUCCGGGAGAGUGUCCUGUGGUCAACGAAUGUACAGCUGAAACCUGAAUUUUUUAAUUUUUUUCUUCCUGUUGCUCCUCCUUUUAAGGAGGAAGACUACGUUUUCCAUUUUGCAAUGUAGGUAUUUUAUUGACUCAAGAGCCAGUGCUGGGAAUAGCCAACGUCUGUGUGUGUACAUCAUACACCUUUGUGUAUUCCCACAUGAGAUUCCCACAGGAGAAAUUUUGCAAUGUAGAAAAAUGGAGUGUAAAAUAGACUGGGAGCUCAGCAGAGUUGAGCCUAAACAAGCUGCUCUACAGUCAGUUAUUUGGCCUUUUCCCAAAGCAGGACAAUUGCAGUAUCUAACCACAUGGAGCACUCAGAAUCAGAAGAUAUGUUCCAGGCUGGAGCCCUGCCACAGCUGCUGGAAUUACAUAUCUGGAAAGUGCAGCAGAAAAAUUGACUUUGAAUGUUUGAGAGGGAAGCAGAUGCAUCUCCUUCAUUAAGGAAAGAGAUGAUUCAAAGAAGCGCUGUGUUAGCAAGGCACUGCGGCAGGAGGAGCGCUUUGUGAUGAGGUGCAAGGUUUGAUCUCUUCAGAUUCACAAAGAGCUUGUUUAAAGAGGGAAAUCCUGACCUUGUUCCAGCACAUCCCGUUACCUAACUGGACAUGCUUUGGCAGCCAGGGUGCUGCGCUUAGUGACCAGGCCAGCAAUAGGAAAUAUUCCAUCUCUCUUCAGGAUUACAGCCUCCCAGACCAGGAAGAAAUGGUACUUU